rnacentral:lncRNA from 1 species
UUACAUUUAAUCAUCUCCCUCGUCGCUUAAGUCAAUUGGGUUGUCCUCAACAGUUCAUGGGCACCUCCUUUUGGAUGCGAACCAAAAUAACAGGUUCUUCCGCUCCGUCUCAUCUUGUUAAAAUUGUACACGGGCACAUUCGCCUUGCUUUUUUGUCCGAUUCCUUCACAUUCGAUACCAUGUCAUGUCACAGUGGUUUUUGCUUUCUUCUUCUCACCCUCUUUCUUUAAUUGAGCAGCAUCACCCUGUUUCUGAGACAUAUCUACACAAUGCAAACAUCAGAUCAAAACAUACCCUAAUCCUAAAAAAUUUACCACAAAUUUCUAACAAUUUCACAAUUUCUACCACAAUUCAAUCAAUUCUCUCUAAUAAUUAUCUAACAAUUCAAUCAAAUUGUAAACAUCUAACAUCAUAAAAUCAAAAAUCAAAAAUCAACAAAACCUAAAUAUGUGAAAAUUUAUCCAAAAAAUCUAACAAUUCAAUAAAAAAAAAAAAAAAACCAAUGCAAUAGGAUAAUAAGCACUUACUUGAUUUUAUGAUUGUUUUUUUGAACAAGCUAAAAUGAAAUUAAAUAGAACAAAAGGAGUGGUUCAUCUCACACAAGGCGUGCAAAAGAGAACUACUCAAAGUUUGUACAAGUUAGGUCACUGCUGCCACAGAAAACAAAAGCAAAUAGGCAAAAAAAAAAAAAAACAGAAGAAAAACACCAAAUUUACUGUAAAACUCCCAUGCAAAGUAAAAGAUGUCUCCACCAAUCAUGAUAGCUAAAAGAACAGGUUGACAUAUAUGCCUUUAACCACCGAAAGGAAAGCAUUUUUACCCUGUCGGUCAUCUGUUGUAACUCUGAUGCCUUCUGAUUAAAAACACAGUUGUUCCUUUCCUUCCAAAUUGAUUUUAUGAUUGUAAUUGGCGUUGAAUGACUUAAGCUUGGAGAAAAUCGCAACUUUCUUGAUCAAAACCGCAAAUGGAGUUUUAGAGAUUCUUAUAAAGCUGUUUUGAUUUUAUAACAUAACCCAGUGUGAGUUAACUCACACUAACUUAAAUCAGGUAGCGAGCAUGACUUAAAUCAUGCUAGUGUAUACACCUCCGUGAAUUAACUCAUACCUAUUGGGAGAAGAUCAAUUUUCCUCUAAUAUAGGUCCUGUGAUUUGUGACAAUUUACCUUUUAUAUCUUAGACAUCGUAGUUCUAAGAGGCAUACUUGGGGUAGUAAUCAACUUGUAAAAGUUUUAAGACUUUUUACGAAAAAAAAUGUAAAUUGGUGACAUAUUAAGCCUCGCUUAAGUGUUUCACUUUUUGGAAUUUGUAGUAAAAAUCACG